GCUUUCUUUCACGUCCGCAUUUCUAUCAAGUAUGGCAUGCCAAGUUAACAUUUUAAUGAUUACUACAGAUAAGAAACACAAAUAACAGAACAGUGCACAAUACCAUACAUUGUUAUUCGUAGGACAUAAAGAGAAACUACGUGAUAAUUUUGAUAUAUUACACAGUGAAUUAAUUUAGUUUUUUUUUUAAAUAAAGAUGGCAUAGUGUAUAUUGUCCAUAAUAUUUAUAUCUAACCAAUAAAUAUCUGAUAUUGACAUGGGAUAGGGUUCAUAAUAACAUAAACAAUUAUUGGACUUUUGGGGAUCGCCCAGAUAUUCCGACACCCCACUGGUCCAACACCCCAAUAGUCCGAUAAAGGUUAAUAAGUGCCGUAAUAGAAAAUAUACUUCAUGAGUAGAGCUUCAUGAGGGUGUUGAUGUGGAUUUACAGAAUAGAGAAUAAUGAUGGGGGGGGGGGGGGGGGGUUAAAGAAUAGAGAAAAAUGAGGUCCUAAAAUAAUGGGCAAAAGUAUAAAAAAUAGAGAAAAUGGCAAACAUUUUAAAGAAUACAGAUAUGAAAGACCCCCUCCUCCCCAAUGCAGACACCCUUUGAUAGAAUAAUUGUUGACAUGGUAUUUGAACUAUUCGUUCUAAUAUCACAGAAACAGAUUUUAGCAUGCCAC
rnacentral:lncRNA from 1 species